AUUCUUGCAUUUCUUUCUUUCAUCCAUCUUCCAUCAGCUUGAGCUAUUGUCUGUAUCGUAAAAUGAUUUCCCUCUUCAUCCACAGUAUUGAUUAUAGUUGGAAUAAACCCCAUAUAGUUACACUUUAUUUUUAUAUCAGCUUCUAUCAUAUCAAUUUUUUCUCUAGUAUCCCUUACAACCUCGAUGAAACCCCCACGUGCCUCC
rnacentral:lncRNA from 1 species